rnacentral:lncRNA from 1 species
CUCCUUGUUAGAUUAGUUUAAAAUAAUCUGCGGAGAAAGGAGUCCCUGGGAAGCCAGGCAGUGGCACUGAAGUGAUUAUUUCCACCACAGCAAAAGGCUGGAAACUGGUUACAAUUAUCACUCCUGGUUUUACAUGCUAACAGGAUUUGCCUUUGGGGGAUUAAGUUAACUAUUCUGUCACGCAGUGCCUGUGCUGGCUCACAUGUGACUCAGUAUUUGAUCAAUACUGCUGGUGGCUGUUGGUGCAGCAACUGAUGGGAAGCUGGAGGAGAAUUAUUCCGGUGAAAGCCUCGAGAAAAAUCAGUCAGAGAAGGCUGUGCCGCCAGAGUCCCAUCCCAUCACGCUCAGACAAAAUCCUCAGAAAUCCCACCUUAAAACCACACUGGAAACACCAGGGGAAAGUAUCAAGACAAGCAGUUCUUGGGAAUGUAUGGAAUUGACACAGAAGUCAUGGAGCAACUGAGCAGUGACAGGGCUGGAAAGGUAUGAGGGUUUGUGGUUCUUCAGGUAGGGAUGG